rnacentral:rRNA from 1 species
CAGCGCGGGGGCAACCCUGGCGGCGAGCGGCGAACGGGUGAGUAAUGCAUCGGAACGUGUCCUCUUGUGGGGGAUAACCAGUCGAAAGACUGGCUAAUACCGCAUGAGAUCGAGAGAUGAAAGCAGGGGACCGCAAGGCCUUGCGCGAGAGGAGCGGCCGAUGCCGGAUUAGCUAGUUGGUGGGGUAAAGGCCUACCAAGGCGACGAUCCGUAGCUGGUCUGAGAGGACGACCAGCCACACUGGGACUGAGACACGGCCCAGACCCCUACGGGAGGCAGCAGUGGGGAAUUUUGGACAAUGGGGGCAACCCUGAUCCAGCCAUGCCGCGUGUGUGAAGAAGGCCUUCGGGUUGUAAAGCACUUUCGGACGGAACGAAAUCGCGCGAUCUAAUAAGUCGCGUGGAUGACGGUACCGUAAGAAGAAGCACCGGCUAACUACGUGCCAGCAGCCGCGGUAAUACGUAGGGUGCGAGCGUUAAUCGGAAUUACUGGGCGUAAAGUGUGCGCAGGUGGCUGAGCAAGUCGAGUGUGAAAUCCCCGGGCUUAACUUGGGAAUUGCGCUCGAAACUACUUGGCUCGAGUGUGGCAGAGGAAGGUGGAAUUCCACGUGUAGCGGUGAAAUGCGUAGAGAUGUGGAGGAACACCGAUGGCGAAGGCAGCCUUCUGGGCCAACACUGACGCUCAUGCACGAAAGCGUGGGGAGCAAACAGGAUUAGAUACCCUGGUAGUCCACGCCCUAAACGAUGAUGACUAGUUGUUGGGGGAGUUAAAUCCCUUAGUAACGCAGCUAACGCGUG